rnacentral:rRNA from 1 species
GACGAACGCUGGCGGCGUGCUUAACACAUGCAAGUCGAACGGAGCACCCUUGACUGAGGUUUCGGCCAAAUGAUAGGAAUGCUUAGUGGCGGACUGGUGAGUAACGCGUGAGGAACCUGCCUUCCAGAGGGGGACAACAGUUGGAAACGACUGCUAAUACCGCAUGACGCAUGACCGGGGCAUCCCGGGCAUGUCAAAGAUUUUAUCGCUGGAAGAUGGCCUCGCGUCUGAUUAGCUAGAUGGUGGGGUAACGGCCCACCAUGGCGACGAUCAGUAGCCGGACUGAGAGGUUGACCGGCCACAUUGGGACUGAGAUACGGCCCAGACUCCUACGGGAGGCAGCAGUGGGGAAUAUUGGGCAAUGGACGCAAGUCUGACCCAGCAACGCCGCGUGAAGGAAGAAGGCUUUCGGGUUGUAAACUU